CGGGCGGCCGUGACCCUGCUGGAGUCCGGGGGGGACCUCCAGCCCCCCGGGGGGUCCCUGCGCCUCCUCUGCCGAGGACAAGGAUUCGAGUUUGGGAAAUUUGAGAUGUUCUGGGUGCGCCAGAGACCCGAGAAAGCGCUGGAAUUCAUCGCAAGCAUCACCAGCGGUGGCAGCACGUACUACGCGCCAUCCGUGCGUGGCCGGUUCACCAUCAGCAGGGACAACGGGCAGAGCUCGGUGACGCUGAGCAUGAACAACCUCCAGGACGAGGAUUCCGGGGUUUAUUUCUGUGGCAAAACUUCUGGCAAUGAUUAUGGUUUUCCUGCUUAUGCAAUGGGGAAUGUGGCCAUCACCGGCAUCGUCACCAUAACCAACAGCAGCAGCAGCAGCACCAUAACUGCUGUAACAACCACUGGUGUAACAUUUGGCGCAGAAAUAAACCCGGAAUCCUCGUCCUGGAGGUUGUUCAUGCUCAGCGUCACCGAGCUCUGCCCGUUGUCCCUGCUGAUGGUGAACCGGCCCUUCACGGACGAUGCGUAG